UUAACUUGUUAGAUCAUAAAAAAAUUCUUUCCAAAAAAUAUACUGGAAACAUGUGGAUGUGCAGUUAUAAUUAAAAAUGAAAGCAAAACAGCCUUCCCCCAAAACAGAGGAAGCCCCACAAGUCAAAGCUACAGCUAAACUGAUGAGAGCCAAAAAUAGGGGGUUACUGAAAAGUCUUGGAAUAUGGUCACAUCACUGAUGG
rfam:Rattus norvegicus chromosome 1, whole genome shotgun sequence.